rnacentral:rRNA from 1 species
AACGAACGCUGGCGGCAUGCCUAACACAUGCAAGUCGAACGAGAUCUUCGGGUCUAGUGGCGCACGGGUGCGUAACGCGUGGGAAUCUGCCCUUUGGUUCGGAAUAACAGUUGGAAACGACUGCUAAUACCGGAUGAUGACGAAAGUCCAAAGAUUUAUCGCCAGAGGAUGAGCCCGCGCAGGAUUAGCUAGUUGGUGUGGUAAAGGCGCACCAAGGCGACGAUCCUUAGCUGGUCUGAGAGGAUGAUCAGCCACACUGGGACUGAGACACGGCCCAGACUCCUACGGGAGGCAGCAGUGGGGGGUAUUGGACAAUGGGCGAAAGCCUGAUCCAGCAAUGCCGCGUGAGUGAUGAAGGCCUUAGGGUUGUAAAGCUCUUUUACCCGGGAUGAUAAUGACAGUACCGGGAGAAUAAGCUCCGGCUAACUCCGUGCCAGCCGCCGCCGUAA